AAAAAAGUCUGUAGUAUAAGGGGUGUAACCCCAGAGGAUAUUGGCAGUCUUCUACCUCAACUGAAAAGGAAAAACCUAAAGAGAAUGUCAAUGAAAUAAACACAAAUGGAGAUGGAUCAGAGAUGGCAUAACGAAAAUGGAAAACAUGUACCAAAAGAAUUCUCAAAUGGGAGACCCAGCCAGUUUGUCACAAAUGAACAAAAUUUAGACAAAAAUAUAGAAAAACCAGAGGCCCAGCCAGUCUCUUCUGCGUACCUGUCUAAGACGUCUUAGUUCGGCCUGUUGUGGAGUAGUAACCGCCAAAAAGGACUUGGAAGAGGUCGCACGAGGCCCUCAACGCCACCAUGCCCAAGAAUAAAGGUAAAGGAGGUAAAAACAGGCGCAGGGGUAAGAAUGAGAAUGAAUCUGAAAAAAGAGAGUUGGUGUUUAAAGAGGAUGGACAAGAGUAUGCUCAGAUAAUCAAAAUGUUGGGAAAUGGACGAUUGGAAGCAUUGUGUUUUGAUGGCGUAAAGAGGUUAUGCCAUAUCAGAGGGAAAUUGAGAAAAAAGGUUUGGAUAAAUACUUCAGACAUUAUAUUGGUUGGUCGACAGACUAUCAGGAUAACAAAGCUGAUGUAAUUUUAAAGUACAAUGCAGAUGAAGCUAGAAGUCUGAAGGCAUAUGGCGAGCUUCCAGAACAUGCUAAAAUCAAUGAGACAGACACAUUUGGUCCUGGAGAUGAUGAUGAAAUCCAGUUUGUGAUACUGGAGAUGAUGAUGAAGACAUUGACGAUAUCUAAAUUGAACUGAGUGAUUUUACAUUUGAAGUUUUCUGAGGAUUGUUCUACAGUUGGGAUUUUGA